rnacentral:rRNA from 1 species
GUGGCGCACGGGUGCGUAACGCGUAUGCAAUCUACCUUUAACUGGAGGAUAGCCCCGAGAAAUCGGGAUUAAUACUCCAUAAAAUUGAGAAGGGGCAUCUCUUUUCAAUUAAAGCUCCGGCGGUUUUAGAUGAGCAUGCGUGACAUUAGCUAGUUGGUGAGGUAACGGCUCACCAAGGCGACGAUGUCUAGGGGUUCUGAGAGGAUUUUCCCCCACACUGGUACUGAGACACGGACCAGACUCCUACGGGAGGCAGCAGUAAGGAAUAUUGGGCAAUGGGCGCAAGCCUGACCCAGCCAUGCCGCGUGAAGGAUGACGGCCCUAUGGGUUGUAAACUUCUUUUGUACGGGAAAAAACCCCCGGUCGUGUACGGGGCUGAUGGUACCGUAAGAAUAAGCAUCGGCUAACUCCGUGCCAGCAGCCGCGGUAAUACGGAGGAUGCAAGCGUUAUCCGGAUUCAUUGGGUUUAAAGGGUGCGCAGGCGGAAUGAUAAGUCAGUGGUGAAAUCCUACGGCUCAACUGUAGAACUGCCAUUGAUACUGUCAUUCUUGAGUACACUUGAAGUGGGCGGAAUGUGUCAUGUAGCGGUGAAAUGCUUAGAUAUGACACAGAACACCGAUCGCGAAGGCAGCUCACUAAAUUGUAACUGACGCUCAUGCACGAAAGCGUGGGGAUCAAACAGGAUUAGAUACCCUGGUAGUCCACGCCGUAAACGAUGAUCACUCGAUGUUGGCGAUACACUGUCAGCGUCUAAGCGAAAGCAUUAAGUGAUCCACCUGGGGGAGUACGGCCGCAAGGUUGAAA